rnacentral:rRNA from 1 species
UUAGGAAGUGAACAGGAUUAGGUACCCCAGUAAUCUAGGCAGAAAAUGAUGAAUGUCAUAGGUUCAAUACUGACUGGUUAAUUUGAUUAAAGAAUAGUUUAUGGUGAUAAUACUAAUCAAUGGUGAUAAAUUAAACUAAUCAGUCUAUUGUGUCUAUAAAUGAAAGUGUAAGCAUUCCACCUCAAGAGUAAUUUGGCAACAUUGGAACUGAAAUCAUUAGACCGUUUCUGAAACCAGUAGUGAAGUAUGUUGUUUAAUUAGAUGAUACACAAAAACCUUACCACAAUUUGAAUAUAUAUAAAAUAUAUUUACAAGCGCUGCACGGCUGUCUACAGUUAAUGUCGUGAGACUUUGGUUAGCUCCAUUAAAUUGACGAAAACCCUAAUUUUAUUUAUAAAUAUAAUUAAC